rnacentral:rRNA from 1 species
GCAAGUCGAGGGGUAACAUAGAGUGCUUGCACUUUGAUGACGACCGGGGCACGGGUGCGUAAAGCGAAUAGACUCUAACUUGUACUGGAGAAUAACCAGAAGAAAUUCUGACUAAUACUCCAUAGUAUGUAUUAAUUUCAUGAUUAUUACAUUAAAGAUUUAUUGGUAUAAGAUGACUAUGCGUCCUAUUAGCUAGAUGGUAAGGUAACGGCUUACCAUGGCAACGAUAGGUAGGGGCCCUGAGAGGGGGAUC